rnacentral:rRNA from 1 species
UACGUAGGGACCAAGCGUUGUUCGGAAUCACUGGGCGUAAAGCGCACGUAGGCGGAUUGCUAAGUCAGGGGUGAAAUCCUGGAGCUCAACUCCAGAACUGCCUUUGAUACUGGCGAUCUCGAGUCCGGGAGAGGUGAGUGGAACUGCGAGUGUAGAGGUGAAAUUCGUAGAUAUUCGCAAGAACACCAGUGGCGAAGGCGGCUCACUGGCCCGGUACUGACGCUGAGGUGCGAAAGCGUGGGGAGCAAACAGG